rnacentral:pre_miRNA from 1 species
CCAUUCGUAAAAAUGACUGUGUAAUGUUGUAUAGUCAUAUCACAGCCAUUUUUGACGAGUUGGG